UAUAGUGAGAUACCACCUCUCAGCCAUCAGAAUGGCUAAAAGCAACAACACGAGAAACAACAGGUGUUGGUGAGGACCUGGAGUAAAGGGAACCCUUCUGCCCUUUUGGUGGGAAUGUCAACUGGUGCAGCCACUGUGGAAAACAGUAUGGAGGUUUCUCAAAAAGUUAAACAUGGAGUUACCAUAUGACCCAGCAAUUCCGUCCUAGGUAUAUACCCAAGA